UGUUCAUCCCAUGAAUCAAACCCCAUGCAGUAGCAUACCCAACAAUAAUUCCUGAUAAAUGACCAAGAAAACUUGCUUGUGGUACAAUUAUUGAUGUAAAAAUUAAUGAUUCAAAAGGUGCAAAACUUAUGGGUAGUGAGAGAAACCCAAAGAGAUCCAACUUUGAGGAGGGUUGCUUUACGGAAAGAAUUGUCAUCCACCCAAAAAC
rnacentral:misc_RNA from 1 species